CACUCAUACAGCUCACGGGCUUGAAGGGAGAGAGAACGAGAAUGCGUGUGUGAGCGGGAGGAGAGAAAGUGAGAGAGGGAGGUAUUCCCACUCUCGCCGCACGGGGGCAAGCUAGAACGCGAAAGACCGGAAAAGCGCCAACGCCAUGCUAAUUUACAACAGGUGUCACGCUGGCAGCAAAUCGGAGGGAAGCACCGGCACGGAAUCUUGGAUCCGGAGUUUCAUCUCAAAGGAGGGGAGGCUGAAGCACAACACGAAUGACAGACAGCUACUGAAACAAAGCAAAGAAAUGGCAUUUCCAAAAGCCGAUUUAACAUUCGACCCAGUUUCUGCGAGGAUCUCCGCUGGGACGCAACCCAAAAGUGUCAUGCAGCAGAACCGGAAUAAUAAAGACCCUCACUGCGGAAAAUGAAAGCGAAAACGACCCCCCCCCUCCAACUCUUCGACUACCCGUCUUUAUAUGCGAUGGAUGAACAAACAGUUCAGCCGUUAACGUCACUGCACAUGGAUGAUCUGCUUAUCCGCAACGCACACACAACAAGCACUUUUCGAAAUCAAUUUCUAAAGAGGUGCACGGAAACAAUCAGCGCACAGUCUGCAAUUAUUCCGACACAUCCCAUAUUGAAAGCUCUUGGAUGUACUAUGAAAUGACAUCCAAACUAUUCAUUCCAAGCCACCCGCACCAAGGUAAUUAGUAUUCUAAUUUUAUGUAAUUACUAUGCGUUGCACAAGGGUAGUCAACGAGCACCGAGUACCGAUGGGAAUUUUGACUGGAGUUAACGAAGCACACAUUGUCUCAGCCUUUCAUCCCAGUCUAAUUAUAGAAAUGCUGAUAUUGAUUAGGAAUGUUUUUCAACUCAACGCAUCGCAAAAUUGAAACAUUUCAUGCUGGUCAGCCUUUGGGAUUGAAACGUGAAGGAAAUGUGGGAUGUAAUGACUGCUAAUUAAAACGACUAACCUCUAACUAAAGAUUUUGUAAACGACAGCCAAUCACUAGAGUACUACAGUUGACGUGUAAACUGACUAAUGUCGACAUAAUGCUGGCAUGACCACACAGACAAUUAGUUUAAGGCGCGCUGUAUGUUUUUUGACAAGUACACUUAGCUACUUUAGUAUUUUAAACAUGCUGUGGUGCAACGCCUGCUCAAGAAACCCAGUCUUGAUCAAUGUGGGCUGUUGAAUUCCCGACCCAUUUUCAAGCUUAGCAUUGCUAAGCAUUUAAAAUGCUGCAAAACACAACGUCAGGCCUGUUGAGAGUUUUUAAUGACAUCUUACUGGCUAAUGGCACUGGAGAUGAUGUGUCUGGUUUUGGUUUGACCUAACUGCAGCAUUUGAUGAAGUGUACCGCAAUAUUCUGUUGGCUCAUUUAUAGAACCAGGUGAGCAUUAGUGCUAAUACUUUAAGAUUCUAUUUGGCAGACCGAACGUUUUCUCUUAGCCUUGGUUGCUCUGAAUCUUAAUGCAUAUGGUGUUCCACAGGGUUCCAUUUUGGGGCCCCUGUUGUUUUCAUUGUAUUUUCUGCCUCUUAUAUGCUGGUGAAAGUCAAAUUUCGGUCUUUGUUUUCAUAGGAUUUUUACUUUAAGACCCAUUGUUUACAGCUAUGGUUGUAUUUAAAGCGCUCUCUAAAUCAAGUUGAGUUGAGAUGAAAAUUUAAUGAGGUAGGCACUCUACUUAGUUUUAUACAUUAGAUUUUUUUUUUUUUUUUUACAUGGUCACAACCUGGAUUUUGGUUCUUUUUGCACUAAUUGAUAGCACUCACAAAGAACUGUUCGGCUUUCUCUGAAAUUUCUUGUCUCACAAUUUGGUAGCCUUUGUGGCCAGUUAAAGCGUCUCUCUCUGUCGGUCUUUGCUUGUCUUUGAAGGAUAUCUGAAAGUUCCCUCAAUAAUGAAUUACCAAAAUGUCAGACCUCCUGUGUCUUUGAAUGACUUCUUGGUAUUUUUUUCUGUGGGUCUACUCACGACUGACGUGCCUACAAAAUUGCAUUCUGGGUACUGACGGGUGAGCCAAACCCAAACUGAGGAGUUGCAAACUAAACCAAGUGCUUGACUUCUAUGCCUUGAUUAAAAAAAAAAGCUGCUUUAAAAAAAAAAAAAUUAGGCCAACAUGCUGUAAAUUACAUCGCCUGGGCUGUUGUUGUCUUGUGUUAGUUUCCCUCAACCCAGUCUCCGAUGCGUUACGGCUAUAAUUAGCCUAGAUUCGUGAGAAGGCCACUUGGAAAGGGAAUGCAUGAAUUUUGAUAAUCAUGAGCUCAUCGUUUUAAUCAUCAUCAUCCUAUAGUUUUUAGAAACCAAACACAAAAAGGCUCAUUGAUGAAGUCAAAACAUCAUAAAGAUUUGAUGAUGGCCUGCUUAAAGCUUUUCGUUGACCUGAACCAUCUGACAUGUUUAGUGAUUGCAUUCCUGCAUAAAAAAAUAAAUAAACAGAAAAGUAGUAUUCCACAGAGAUGAAGUAUACAAACCCCGCAUACCAAAAAGGUUUUUUGUACGACGUUAAAUUUAAUUAGACAGUGCGGAAGUUAAUUUCCACAAAUUUGCUGAGAGCUGAUUUGCGGUAGCACAAAGUGCAGUGAGACGAGUGAAAAGUGUGGAGAAAGUGGAACAAACUUUUCCCUCUAAAUCCAGGCCAACACUUUACCAGCCUCUGCCAAGC